CCUACGGGGGGCUGCAGUGGGGAAUUUUGGACAAUGGGCGAAAGCCUGAUCCAGCAAUGCCGCGUGUGUGAAGAAGGCCUUCGGGUUGUAAAGCACUUUUGUCCGGAAAGAAAUCCUGAGGGCUAAUAUCCUUCGGGGAUGACGGUACCGGAAGAAUAAGCACCGGCUAACUACGUGCCAGCAGCC
rnacentral:rRNA from 1 species